UUUUUUUUUUUUUUUUUGUCUUGUCUUUUAAGGGCUGCACUGAAAGCAUAUGGAGGUUCCCAGGCUAAGGGUCCAAUCAGAACUGAAGCCGCUGGCCUAUGCCACAGCAACCUGAGAUCUGAGCCACGUCUACAACCUACACCACAGCUCACGGCAACACUGGCUCCUUAACCCACUGAGCAAGGCCAGGGAUGGAACCCAAGUCCUCAUGGAUGCUUUGCUCAGUUUUGCUAACGGCUGAGCCAUGACGGGAACUCCUCCAAUUUUGAUUAAUUUCAAUACUUGUAGACUUCCUCACCACAAUUUACCCUUUUCAGUAAAAACCUACACUCCCUGCAAGGCAACACACUUUAACAUAUUAUUUAUGUAAUUUAAAAGAGUAAUAUCAAAGGGUAUGGUGAAAAUUUGAGCAAUCUCACAUGGGAUUAUAGGAACUUAUCAUUUUAGCUGAAUUAAUUGACCAGAGGGAAUGUCAGGAAGCCUUUUUUUUCCCCCUGGUGAAAUGAAAGAAUAUUGUGUGGCUUGGUGAUUGUGAAGAAUUAGCCGGAGUUCCCAUCAUGGCGCAGUGGUUAACGAAUCCGACUAGGAACCAUGAGGUUGUGGGUUCGAUCCCUGCCCUUGCUCAGUGGGUUAACGAUCCAGCAUUGCCGUGAGCUGUGGUGUAGGUUGCAGACGUGGCUCGGAUCCUGCGUUGCUGUGGCUCUGGCGUAGGCCUGUGGCUACAGCUCCGAUUCGACCCCUAGCCUGGGAACCUCCAUAUGCCGAGGAAGUGGCCCAAGAAAUAGCAAAAAAAGACAAAAAAAGAAUUAGCCUGUUAAGAUAAUUUAAAAUGUCUUAAAAUAUUAAUAUGAGAAUAAUGUCUUAGAGUUUAUCUAACAGGAUUUGAGGUCAUAUGUUAAGUUGUUACAGAUGGGAAAACCGAGACUUAGAAAAGUCAAGUAACUUGCCAAAGACCCAUACAGUUAAUGGGCAGUGGAUAUGGGAGAGAAGCAGGCAGUACAACUACUGAGUCUGCAUUCUUACCCAAUGCAUUAUGCUGAUGCCAAGAAAGCAGUACAACUGUUUUGUGUGAUGGGGACAAGAGGAAUGCCAACCAGCUUAUAAGGUUUUACCUACUUGUGUAAUCGACAGAGCCUUUAAUCCAAUUAUUUGAGAACCACAAUUCUGAGCAGCAGAAAUAGGAUGAAAGCUAAAAAGACAUGAUUAACUGUGUUCUCUACAUUGAGUGAAUCUGUCAUCUUUAGCUGGCAACUGGCAGCCAAACCUGGUGCUGGGAAAGUGAGAAACAUUGACUUUACCCUAUGUGAGGAGCACAGAGUUUUUAUUUAAGCAGCUUAUUUCCUUUUAAAAUGAUACAUACCAGUAGCUGCUCUCCAAGUGGGAGUUAAGCAGAAAGGAGAGUGAGGUUAUUAAGCAGUUCUCACGUACUGAAUAAAAUGCAGCUACUCAGCUGGUUGUGGUUUAGAAUUCAUUUAGUAGACUCAUUCAUGGGUGAUAAAGUCAGGGACUGCUUGGUCUCUGACUUUUAAAGUGCCCAAGUCAGCGACAUGCAAACAAUGAGAGUAAAGAAUCAAAUAACAAUAUUCACAUGCAUGUCAUCCUCUUGUUUAAGGAACACACUGAUAUAGCUCGUCAUUCUGCUCAAUUGCCAAGAGUACCAAAGGCUUCUGAGUUUCUUAUUAGCAGAACAUUAUUUAACACUGUACUCCCAGGGUAACCAAAUUAACUUUCGUUUGUUUAGUGACUGUGAGAAUUUUGAUUUUAUAAAGGCUUUUUCUUUUUUGUCUGCACCUGCAGCAUCCAGAAAUUCUCCGGCC
rnacentral:lncRNA from 1 species